rnacentral:lncRNA from 1 species
CCCUUUCAUUCCUUCCUUCCCUUUCCUAUUCUUCCCCCUUCUCUUUCCAUUUGCUCUUGCUCUCUCUCUCUUCCUCCCUCUCUCUCCUCUCCCCCCUACCCUUUUUUGCCCCACCCAUAAUCUCGAGAAACCAAAUGUACACUGGAAAAAUACCCUGAGAACUGAAGGAAGUGCUCCUAAACGUUUCAUCAUUAAGAAAGCCAACACUGGAUCAGGCAGUUGGUUGCAAACCGUUCCUUUUUUUUCCUAUUUUAUCCUCAAAUUUUCACAUUGCUUACUUUCUUCUGAUGAGAGAUUUAAUUAUUGGUAUUUAUGUUCACUACAGGGUGUGCUCACCACGGGACUGAUGAAAGGGAAAUAAAUGACGGCCCUGUUUUCCUUCCUUGUGAAGAGUGUGGCAGCUUCUCUGAGUCAUGACAUACACCCACAAAGGCUAAUCAACAGGUGAGUACAGAAAAUAUUUAUCACUCAUUACAAUUAGCUGGAAAAGUGGGACUUUUCCAUCUGGGAACAAAGCAUCUUCGUUUUCACUUUGCACUUACUGAAUCCCUCCACGUCCACAUUUUUUUAUAAAAUGUAAUAACUGC